AACAUAAAAUAUCUUUAAGGUCA
rnacentral:siRNA from 1 species